CUCAGAUUGAACGCUGGCGGCAGGCCUAACACAUGCAAGUCGAGCGGUAGCACAGAGAGCUUGCUCUCGGGUGACGAGCGGCGGACGGGUGAGUAAUGUCUGGGAAACUGCCUGAUGGAGGGGGAUAACUACUGGAAACGGUAGCUAAUACCGCAUAAUGUCGCAAGACCAAAGUGGGGGACCUUCGGGCCUCAUGCCAUCAGAUGUGCCCAGAUGGGAUUAGCUAGUAGGUGGGGUAACGGCUCACCUAGGCGACGAUCCCUAGCUGGUCUGAGAGGAUGACCAGCCACACUGGAACUGAGACACGGUCCAGACUCCUACGGGAGGCAGCAGUGGGGAAUAUUGCACAAUGGGCGCAAGCCUGAUGCAGCCAUGCCGCGUGUGUGAAGAAGGCCUUCGGGUUGUAAAGCACUUUCAGCGGGGAGGAAGGCGAUAAGGUUAAUAACCUUGUCGAUUGACGUUACCCGCAGAAGAAGCACCGGCUAACUCCGUGCCAGCAGCCGCGGUAAUACGGAGGGUGCAAGCGUUAAUCGGAAUUACUGGGCGUAAAGCGCACGCAGGCGGUCUGUCAAGUCGGAUGUGAAAUCCCCGGGCUCAACCUGGGAACUGCAUUCGAAACUGGCAGGCUAGAGUCUUGUAGAGGGGGGUAGAAUUCCAGGUGUAGCGGUGAAAUGCGUAGAGAUCUGGAGGAAUACCGGUGGCGAAGGCGGCCCCCUGGACAAAGACUGACGCUCAGGUGCGAAAGCGUGGGGAGCAAACAGGAUUAGAUACCCUGGUAGUCCACGCCGUAAACGAUGUCGAUUUGGAGGUUGUGCCCUUGAGGCGUGGCUUCCGGAGCUAACGCGUUAAAUCGACCGCCUGGGGAGUACGGCCGCAAGGUUAAAACUCAAAUGAAUUGACGGGGGCCCGCACAAGCGGUGGAGCAUGUGGUUUAAUUCGAUGCAACGCGAAGAACCUUACCUGGUCUUGACAUCCACAGAACUUAGCAGAGAUGCUUUGGUGCCUUCGGGAACUGUGAGACAGGUGCUGCAUGGCUGUCGUCAGCUCGUGUUGUGAAAUGUUGGGUUAAGUCCCGCAACGAGCGCAACCCUUAUCCUUUGUUGCCAGCGGUUAGGCCGGGAACUCAAAGGAGACUGCCAGUGAUAAACUGGAGGAAGGUGGGGAUGACGUCAAGUCAUCAUGGCCCUUACGACCAGGGCUACACACGUGCUACAAUGGCAUAUACAAAGAGAAGCGACCUCGCGAGAGCAAGCGGACCUCAUAAAGUAUGUCGUAGUCCGGAUUGGAGUCUGCAACUCGACUCCAUGAAGUCGGAAUCGCUAGUAAUCGUAGAUCAGAAUGCUACGGUGAAUACGUUCCCGGGCCUUGUACACACCGCCCGUCACACCAUGGGAGUGGGUUGCAAAAGAAGUAGGUAGCUUAACCUUCGGGAGGGCGCUUACCACUUUGUGAUUCAUGACUGGGGUGA
rnacentral:rRNA from 1 species